CGCGUGCGAGCGAGCGAGUGCGCAGGGUUCCCGCUCGGGGCCGGUGCCCGGUUGAGUGCCCGGACUCGCGGGGGAAGCGCCCACGGGGACGCGGUUGCCUCUUGUUUUCCUGUAUGAAGCGGUGGGCACCACUUAAGUGACCGAAUGAGCUGCCGAGCGAGCGCUUCAUCAUGGACUAGAGUAGUGGCAAGGGCACUGGUCACGUGGCUGUGGUGGAGGUGUCAUGGCUGAUGGCUGUUACCAGAGAAGAGGAGGGAAAUUGCAGCGACCCAAUAGAGGGAUGACAGUUCCUACUAGGGAGAGACUCUACAGGAGCAGGUAAUUCAUUGGUCCACAAGCGGUCUCCUUUACGUCGAAACCAAAAGACCCCAGCAUCCUUGAAUAAGCUGUCUUUACAGGAUGGACAUAAAGCCAAAAAGCCAGCAUGUAAAUUUGAAGAGGGUCAAGAUGUCUUAGCUAGAUGGUCAGAUGGCUUGUUUUAUCUUGGAACUAUC